AUUGAACGCUGGCGGCAGGCCUAACACAUGCAAGUCGAGCGAGCGGCGGACGGGUGAGUAAUGUCUGGGAAACUGCCUGAUGGAGGGGGAUAACUACUGGAAACGGUAGCUAAUACCGCAUACCAUCAGAUGUGCCCAGAUGGGAUUAGCUAGUAGGUGGGGUAACGGCUCACCUAGGCGACGAUCCCUAGCUGGUCUGAGAGGAUGACCCGCCACACUGGAAAUGAGACACGGUCCAGACUCCUACGGGAGGCAACAGGGGGGAAUAUUGCACAAUGGGCGCAAGCCGGAUGCAGCCAUGCCGCGUGGUGGAAGAAGGCCGUCGGGUUUGAAAGCACUUUCAGCGGGGAGGCGUUACCCGCAGAAGAAGCACCGGCUAACUCCGUGCCAGCCGCCGCGGUAAUAC
rnacentral:rRNA from 1 species